CUCGUCGCAAGUAGCAGUCCAUGGCUGCCAUCUUCCACUUUCCUCUGCCUAGGUCCUUUCCUAUGGAGGUGCAAGGUUUCUACUCUUCUCCCUCCCAUGCUCUCUCUCAUUGUCUGUGUUCAUGUGUACUGCUGCUUCAAUUUCUUUGUGAUGCAAAUGUUGUUGAUGAACAUUUUGUUUAAUAAAAAGCUACAAAAAAAAUCAGUUUUUCUCGUUGUGAUUUUUUUUUUGAAUUUUGCUCUGGUCUAGCAGUUCGACAUGUAUUCUACUUCAGUUUAGUACAUCGGAGUAUCAUGUACGUCAGUUCAGUUCAGUACGAAAACAUUAGAGAUUCGACAGACAUAAUCAUGUCGCACAAGUUCAAGUAUAGGUACAGAAGUUUCUCACCAUAAAUAAAUUGAUCUGGAGUCUCCUUGACAAAACCUCAUCUCUCAUAUUUGUUCCUAUUUUUGUAGGUUGCAGGAAAAACAAGAUGCACAAGUUCAUCUUUUGUAUGCUUUUCAGUACAUCUACUUCCCAAUCGUGAGUCUGAUUUCCUUUGUGUUUCCAUCUUCUUCAUAUAGCACAAACAAUUCCUUGUGGUUAUGCUUGAGAAUGAGCACCAUACUGUCACUUGGUUAAUCAAUUUUGUAGAAAGUUCUCGGGGAUUUCUUUAUGUAGAGUUGUUGUUAACUUCAUAAUUAUACAGAUCAUGCAUUCUAUCCAAUGAGCCAUCAAUUAAAGCAAUUUCCAAAUAUAGAGAGGGAAAUAUACAAGAUUGCCAACUAAUAUAUACUCCCUCUGUAAACUAAUAGAUUCCCAACUAUAAUAAUUAUAUUUCUUUACGGAGAGAGUAUUAAUGCUCUGCUUAGCACAUUGCUUGUAGUUGUAUCAGUUACCUUUCUUUUGGAGUUAGGUAAUUAAUAAAUAAUCAAGAGGGAUGGUGCACCCUCACGACCGCUUGCCACCCCCACAGCUGCUACAAAUUCUUGUGUGGGUCGCCGUUCCCUACUCCGGCGUGUGUCACCAGCGUCGUGACCUCCCCCAGCCAGCCCCCACGGCUUGCCUCGAUGGUGCCCCCAAGCCUGUCUAGAACCACCAUGAUGAAUAGAAAUCCAUCCAACUAUUCACUUAUGGUCUCAUGAUCAUUUUCUUGAAAAAGUGUGACUUUUCUGCUGUACUCUCCUUGUUAUUUACUUGUCAAAAUUUAGUUUGAAUCCACUACAAUUUCCAUGAGUGGAUUUUUCUUCAAAACGGAAUUUCCAUGAGAGGAUUUAAAAAUCAACAAAUGUAAAGUUUUAAAAUGCAUACAACAACUACAAAAUAUCAAUUUAGUUCAGUCCAGUUUGUAAUGCUGCUCCACCUUCCGGUCAUUGACGAGCCCCUGGGCAGGCGCUUCCUCCUUCUCUCAGGUCUGCCUCCCUCUAACACUCUCAGUUCAAAUUUGCUAAUAUCUACAGUACUAGUUGGGGAACUUUGGUAGUUCAUUUUCCUAAUAUCUGCACGCUGCCCCUUCCUGCAGGACCCGACCCAACCACUGCCGCCAUGGCACGGCGCCUCCACCUCCCGGCGAAGGACCACCACCUCCCCGACGACGUGCCCAACCCCGACGAGGCCUGCCGGCCCUGGAGUUCCUCCCGCGACACCUCGACCUCCUGUUCAUCCAUGGAUUCUUGCCAUCCACCACGCCAUCAGGAACACGAUUGGUGAGAAACACCUUCGUGCUCCUCCUCUCGUACUCUUCAGUUCACAUACUGCCAUCCAUGAAGGCCAUUUUUCUUGUAAUCUAGAUUUUGAUCCAACUGAAAGUUCAGGAGUUCUUCGGGGGACUGCUCAUAGAUGCAAAAAAGAGACAUAGAGAGAGAGAGAGAGAGAGAGGCUACUACAAUUCACUUGGGGGAUGCUUUGUUGUGCAGGAUUUGGGGGGUGCCUAGUCUGGCAAGAGUUUUCAAGUAUAACAUGUGUGAUAGUGGCAAUUUUCAAAAACUUUAAUAGUUCAAGUACAUAAGAGAACAGAAGUCCACUCUGUAAAAACAACAGUAGACGCAGAAAGUUCAGUUUUGCUAUAUACGAUUGGUAAUGCCGAUGUGUUCCUUUGUGGUUUAGAUUUCGGCAGUAAACUAUGCAAACAAUUUAAAAGUACUCAAGUCCAACUUGCAAACCAGUAGCAGUCCUAUAGGGCAACAUGCAUCAAAUUCAAAAAAAUAGCAAACCUGACUUGAAGCAAAUUCGCAUCUGGUUGUUUAUUUCAUAGCUCAUCGUUUCUAAUACAAGCCAAUGCUUCUAUUCUAAUCUAGUUGUUUAUUCUGUAGCUCACUUUUUCUAAUAUAAUAUUAAAAGUCCACUAGAUGAAAAAUUCUUUGUGUUAGCGAUCAGUACUAGUGCUCAUCAGUACGGCAAGCAGCAGUACUGAUCAGUAUGACUUACACAAAUACUAGUACUGAUUAGUACUUUCUUAAUGUUAAAGAUGAUCAGUAAAAGAUACAAGUUGCAGUUCCAGGGCAACCUGUCUCAGAUCCUUUUCAGGUUCAGGUAAUAAAUGCUUGGUAUUCUUAUAUACUUGCAUCAGUUCAGACUCGCGGAUACAAUAAGUUGAGGGAAAACCCAUACAAAAGUUCAAAGUUGAGAAACAGGGGUUCUUUGUUUCAAUGCUCGCUAGUAUGCAGAUUGGGUUUGCAUGUUCAUAGUUGGAUGGCUACUGAUCUCUAUAAAACCUUGGAAGCAGUGCUUGCAUUACUAGUCCAACCAUACUAGGUAAAACUGAAUGUACCUAGCCAGUUCAAUAACAUCAUCUCCUUGUGCAAAAAAGUAGUUAAAAAGGUCGAACUGACAUCUGCUUCAGAAUGUCGCACAAAAAGAUAUUUAUCUGUAUUUGUCUUUUUCAUGUUGAAUUAUUUGAAGUAAAACAAAAAUAGCUCACUUUUGUGACUUUCAUCAUUUGAAAAUAUACAUGCCUCAUGUUCGAACUUUCAAUUUGUUUAAAACUAAACUGAUGGUGCUCUUGUUUCAGGGCCGGGGGAGAAGGCAGAACCUCUGGGUGCAUGAUGGAAAUUUUUUGAAGUUCUUGUUUAGAUGUUCAGGAUAGCCUUCUCUCAUUUCAUUUAUGUUCAGGAUAGCAGGUGCAUGAUGGAAAAUUGUGUAUCAUGUACUCCCUCUGUCAACUUUUAUAAGAGCGUUUAGAAAGUGCAGUUCAAAUUUCGUAACGCUACGCAAAUUGUGUCGUUUCCCAUUUUGCCCCCGUGUUCA
rnacentral:lncRNA from 1 species